rnacentral:rRNA from 1 species
UAGGGAAUUGUUCGCAAUGGGCGCAAGCCUGACGACGCAACGCCGCGUGGAGGAUGAAGACCUUCGGGUCGUAAACUCCUUUCGAUCGAGACGAAUGAUCUCCGGGUGAACAAUCCGGGGAAAUGACGGUACCGAGAGAAGAAGCCCCGGCUAACUUCGUGCCAGCAGCCGCGGUAAUACGAAGGGGGCUAGCGUUGUUCGGAAUUACUGGGCGUAAAGCGCGCGUAGGCGGCUUUGCAAGCCAGAGGUGAAAUGCCUGAGCUCAACUUAGGAAUUGCCUUUGGGACUGCGAGGCUUCGAGGACUGGAGAGGUGAGUGGAAUUCCCAGUGUAGAGGUGAAAUUCGUAGAUAUUGGGAAGAACACCAGUGGCGAAGGCGGCUCACUGGCCAGUUUCUGACGCUAAAGUGCGAAAGCGUGGGGAUCAAACAGGAUUAGAUACCCCCGUAGUCCCUGAGCGGGCUGGCAAGGCGCAU